rnacentral:rRNA from 1 species
UUAAGCGACUAAGCGUACACGGUGGAUGCCCUGGCAGUCAGAGGCGAUGAAGGACGUGCUAAUCUGCGAUAAGCGUCGGUAAGGUGAUAUGAACCGUUAUAACCGGCGAUUUCCGAAUGGGGAAACCCAGUGUGUUUCGACACACUAUCAUUAACUGAAUCCAUAGGUUAAUGAGGCGAACCGGGGGAACUGAAACAUCUAAGUACCCCGAGGAAAAGAAAUCAACCGAGAUUCCCCCAGUAGCGGCGAGCGAACGGGGAGCAGCCCAGAGCCUGAAUCAGUGUGUGUGUUAGUGGAAGCGUCUGGAAAGGCGCGCGAUACAGGGUGACAGCCCCGUACACAAAAUGCACAUGCUGUGAGCUCGAUGAGUAGGGCGGGUACACGUGGUAUCCUGUCUGAAUAUGGGGGACCAUCCUCCAAGGCUAAAUACUCCUGACUGACCGAUAGUGAACCAGUACCGUGAGGGAAGGCGAAAAGAACCCCGGCGAGGGGAGUGAAAAAGAACCUGAAACCGUGUACGUACAAGCAGUGGGAGCACGCUUAGGCGUGUGACUGCGUACCUUUUGUAUAAUGGGUCAGCGACUUAUAUUCUGUAGCAAGGUUAACCGAAUAGGGGAGCCGAAGGGAAACCGAGUCUUAACUGGGCGUUAAGUUGCAGGGUAUAGACCCGAAACCCGGUGAUCUAGCCAUGGGCAGGUUGAAGGUUGGGUAACACUAACUGGAGGACCGAACCGACUAAUGUUGAAAAAUUAGCGGAUGACUUGUGGCUGGGGGUGAAAGGCCAAUCAAACCGGGAGAUAGCUGGUUCUCCCCGAAAGCUAUUUAGGUAGCGCCUCGUGAAUUCAUCUCCGGGGGUAGAGCACUGUUUCGGCAAGGGGGUCAUCCCGACUUACCAACCCGAUGCAAACUGCGAAUACCGGAGAAUGUUAUCACGGGAGACACACGGCGGGUGCUAACGUCCGUCGUGAAGAGGGAAACAACCCAGACCGCCAGCUAAGGUCCCAAAGUCAUGGUUAAGUGGGAAACGAUGUGGGAAGGCCCAGACAGCCAGGAUGUUGGCUUAGAAGCAGCCAUCAUUUAAAGAAAGCGUAAUAGCUCACUGGUCGAGUCGGCCUGCGCGGAAGAUGUAACGGGGCUAAACCAUGCACCGAAGCUGCGGCAGCGACGCUGAUGCGUUGUUGGGUAGGGGAGCGUUCUGUAAGCCUGCGAAGGUGUGCUGUGAGGCAUGCUGGAGGUAUCAGAAGUGCGAAUGCUGACAUAAGUAACGAUAAAGCGGGUGAAAAGCCCGCUCGCCGGAAGACCAAGGGUUCCUGUCCAACGUUAAUCGGGGCAGGGUGAGUCGACCCCUAAGGCGAGGCCGAAAGGCGUAGUCGAUGGGAAACAGGUUAAUAUUCCUGUACUUGGUGUUACUGCGAAGGGGGGACGGAGAAGGCUAUGUUGGCCGGGCGACGGUUGUCCCGGUUUAAGCGUGUAGGCUGGUUUUCCAGGCAAAUCCGGAAAAUCAAGGCUGAGGCGUGAUGACGAGGCACUACGGUGCUGAAGCAACAAAUGCCCUGCUUCCAGGAAAAGCCUCUAAGCAUCAGGUAACAUCAAAUCGUACCCCAAACCGACACAGGUGGUCAGGUAGAGAAUACCAAGGCGCUUGAGAGAACUCGGGUGAAGGAACUAGGCAAAAUGGUGCCGUAACUUCGGGAGAAGGCACGCUGAUAUGUAGGUGAAGCGACUUGCUCGUGGAGCUGAAAUCAGUCGAAGAUACCAGCUGGCUGCAACUGUUUAUUAAAAACACAGCACUGUGCAAACACGAAAGUGGACGUAUACGGUGUGACGCCUGCCCGGUGCCGGAAGGUUAAUUGAUGGGGUUAGCGCAAGCGAAGCUCUUGAUCGAAGCCCCGGUAAACGGCGGCCGUAACUAUAACGGUCCUAAGGUAGCGAAAUUCCUUGUCGGGUAAGUUCCGACCUGCACGAAUGGCGUAAUGAUGGCCAGGCUGUCUCCACCCGAGACUCAGUGAAAUUGAACUCGCUGUGAAGAUGCAGUGUACCCGCGGCAAGACGGAAAGACCCCGUGAACCUUUACUAUAGCUUGACACUGAACAUUGAGCCUUGAUGUGUAGGAUAGGUGGGAGGCUUAGAAGUGUGGACGCCAGUCUGCAUGGAGCCGACCUUGAAAUACCACCCUUUAAUGUUUGAUGUUCUAACGUUGACCCGUAAUCCGGGUUGCGGACAGUGUCUGGUGGGUAGUUUGACUGGGGCGGUCUCCUCCUAAAGAGUAACGGAGGAGCACGAAGGUUGGCUAAUCCUGGUCGGACAUCAGGAGGUUAGUGCAAUGGCAUAAGCCAGCUUGACUGCGAGCGUGACGGCGCGAGCAGGUGCGAAAGCAGGUCAUAGUGAUCCGGUGGUUCUGAAUGGAAGGGCCAUCGCUCAACGGAUAAAAGGUACUCCGGGGAUAACAGGCUGAUACCGCCCAAGAGUUCAUAUCGACGGCGGUGUUUGGCACCUCGAUGUCGGCUCAUCACAUCCUGGGGCUGAAGUAGGUCCCAAGGGUAUGGCUGUUCGCCAUUUAAAGUGGUACGCGAGCUGGGUUUAGAACGUCGUGAGACAGUUCGGUCCCUAUCUGCCGUGGGCGCUGGAGAACUGAGGGGGGCUGCUCCUAGUACGAGAGGACCGGAGUGGACGCAUCACUGGUGUUCGGGUUGUCAUGCCAAUGGCACUGCCCGGUAGCUAAAUGCGGAAGAGAUAAGUGCUGAAAGCAUCUAAGCACGAAACUUGCCCCGAGAUGAGUUCUCCCUGACCCUUUAAGGGUCCUGAAGGAACGUUGAAGACGACGACGUUGAUAGGCCGGGUGUGUAAGCGCAGCGAUGCGUUGAGCUAACCGGUACUAAUGAACCGUGAGGCUUAACCUU